AAGUUUCAUUUGGGGGCUGGUGAUUGAGGAAGUGAAACCAGAAACAGAGAAAGGUCUUGGCCUAGAGGGGACACAAAGAAAAUACAGAGCAACAGUCGCUCAUCGGCCAUCACAGCGCGCAAUCUCCAUAGCUGCCGUCACUCUGCUCUCAUCCAAUUUCCGACGCCUCCAAGUUCCGCCACGGCACCUCCAUUUCGUGCGCCGCCUAGCUGCCUGACGCAUCUCCCCUUCCCGCACGGCCUUUCUCUCUCACUGUCGCUCCUCGAUUUCAUGUUGCCACCCACCACUGGAGCCCAGCUCCAGCGCGGCUACCAUGGCAGCUACAGCCGCCUGAUCAUUCGCACCUUCCUUCGACCAUCACCAUCG
rnacentral:lncRNA from 1 species